rnacentral:rRNA from 1 species
AAUGAACGCUGGCGGCAGGCCUAACACAUGCAAGUCGAACGCCCCGCAAGGGGAGUGGCGCACGGGUGAGUAACGCGAGGGAAUAUGCGCUUCGGUUCGGAAUAACACAGGGAAACUUGUGCUAAUACCGGAUACGAUCUACGGUUGAAGGAGUCAUCGCGGAAGGAGUAGCCCGCGUUGAAUUAGCUAGUUGGUGAGGUAAUGGCUAACCAAGGCGACGAUCCUUAGCUGGUCUGAGAGGAUGAACAGCCACACUGGGACUGGGACACGGCCCAGACUCCUAGGGGUGGCGGCAGUGGGGAAUAUUGGACAAUGGGCGAAAGCCUGAUACAGCCAUGCCGCGUGAGUGAUGAAGGCAUUAGGGUUGUAAAGCUCUUUCGCCAGGGAUGGUAAUGACGGUACCUGGAAAAGAAGCCUCGGCUAACUCCGUGCCAGCCGCCGCGGUAA